AUGGAUCCUUCCCGCAGUGGGAGGACUCACUGCCUGCACACACACACACACUCACAGGUCUUUCUGCAGUGUGUGGACUCACUGCCUGCACACACACACACACACUCACGGGUCUUUCUGCAGUGUGUGGACUCACUGCCUGCACACUCACACGGGUCCUCCCGCAGUGGGUGGACUCACUGCCUGCACACUCACACACACUCACACUCAUGGAUCCUUCCCGCGGUGGGAGGACUCACUGCCUGCACACUCACACUCACAGGUCCUUCCCACGGUGGGUGGACACACUUCCUACACACUAACACUCACACUCACGGGUCCUUCCCGCAGUGGGUGGACACCCUGCCUGCACACUCACACUCACACUCACCCUCACACUCACACUCACACGGGUCCUUCCUGCAGUGGGUGGACAUCCUGCCUACACACUCACACUCACGGGUCCUUCCUGCAGUGGGUGGACACCCUGCCUACACACUCACACUCACACGGGUCUUUCUGCAGUGGGUGGACACACUACCUGCACACCCACACUCACACUCACACUCACACGGGUCCUUCCUGCAGUGGGUGGACAUCCUGCCUACACACUCACACUCACGGGUCCUUCCUGCAGUGGGUGGACACCCUGCCUACACACUCACACUCACACGAGUCUUUCUGCAGUGGGUGGACACCCUGCCUGCACACUCACACUCACACUCACACUCACACGGGUCCUUCCACAGUGGGUGGACACCCUGCCUGCACACUCACCCUCAUACUCACACUCACACGGGUCCUUCCUGCAGUGGGUGGACACCCUGCCUGCACACUCACACUCACACUCACACACACGGGUUCUUCCGCAGUGGGUGGACACCCUGCCUGCACACUCACAUUCACACUCACCCUCACACUCACACUCACACUCACACGGGUCCUUCCUGCAGUGGGUGGACAUCCUGCCUACACACUCACACUCACGGGUCCUUCCUGCAGUGGGUGGACACCCUGCCUGCACACUCACACUCACACUCACACUCAUGGAUCCUUCCCGCGGUGGGUGGACACACUGCCUACACACUCACACACACUCACACUCAUGGAUCCUUCCCGCGGUGGGAGGACUCACUGCCUGCACACUCACACUCACAGGUCCUUCCCGCGGUGGGUGGACACACUGCCUACACACUCACACUCACACUCAUGGGUCCUUCCUGCAGUGGGUGGACUCACUGCCUGCACACUCACACUCACCCUCACACUCACCCUCACACUCACACUCACACUCACACUGGUCCUUCCGAAGCGGGUGGACACAGGGACAUUCAUCUUUACGGUUUUAGUUCUUUUAGUUUGAGAGACGUUUGGCUUGUCUUUCUCAUAUUUAAAAACCACUUAUGUUACUUUUACAGAAAACACGGAUUUGAGGAGAGGGUGAAGUAUUUUUGUGCAGGGUGUUUAUUUUUUAAGCCCAGCAUCCAUAAAGAAAAGGGUACACAUCACAGCCAUCUGAGCUGCUCAGUUCUCACCAGGCGAAGGCACCCACAGCAGCACCAUCAGACAGAGACCGGACGCCUCAAGACCUGGGGAGCCGCUCACACCCGUCAGCCACCGCCUCAGUGGGGGAAGCCACUACCCUGUCCUCUAACACCAAGGAUUAGCAUUCUCAUGCAAACGUGGAUUUUUUUUUUUUUUUUUUUUUGA
rnacentral:lncRNA from 1 species